UCGAGAAUCUUUCGCAAUGGGCGAAAGCCUGACGAAGCGACGCCGUGUGUGCGAUGAAGGCCUUCGGGUUGUAAAGCACUUUCGCCUGGGAACAAGAGAGGCCGGCUAACAUCCGGCUAAUUUGAGGGUACUAGGUAAAGAAGCACCGGCUAACUACGUGCCAGCAGCUGCGGUAAUACGUAGGGUGCGAGCAUUAAUCGAUUUAUUGGGCGUAAAGGGCGCGUAGGCGGGGAUGUAAGUCAGAUGUGAAAUCCCGGGGCUCAACCUCGGAACAGCAUUUGAAACUACAUUUCUAGAGGGUAGGCGGAGAAAACGGAAUUCCACAAGUAGCGGUGAAAUGCGUAGAUAUGUGGAAGAACACCGGUGGCGAAGGCGGUUUUCUAGCUUAUACCUGACGCUAAUGCGCGAAAGCAAGGGGAGCAAACAG
rnacentral:rRNA from 1 species